AUUGAACGCUGGCGGCAGGCCUAACACAUGCAAGUCGAGCGAGCGGCGGACGGGUGAGUAAUGUCUGGGAAUCUGCCUGAUGGAGGGGGAUAACUACUGGAAACGGUGGCUAAUACCGCAUACUAUCAGAUGUGCCCAGAUGGGAUUAGCUAGUAGGUGGGGUAAAGGCUCACCUAGGCGACGAUCCCUAGCUGGUCUGAGAGGAUGACCAGCCACACUGGGACUGAGACACGGUCCAGACUCCUACGGGAGGCAGCAGUGGGGAAUAUUGCACAAUGGGCGCAAGCCUGAUGCAGCCAUGCCGCGUGUGUGAAGAAGGCCUUAGGGUUGUAAAGCACUUUCAGCGGGGAGGCGUUACUCGCAGAAGAAGCACCGGCUAACUCCGUGCCAGCAGCCGCGGUAAUAC
rnacentral:rRNA from 1 species